rnacentral:rRNA from 1 species
UACGAAGGGUGCAAGCGUUACUCGGAAUCACUGGGCGUAAAGCGUGCGCAGACGGUUGCGUAAGUCAGAUGUGAAAGCCCCGGGCUCAACCUGGGAAUUGCAUUUGAGACUGCGUAGCUAGGGUGCGGAAGAGGGAAGCGGAAUUUCCGGUGUAGCGGUGAAAUGCGUAGAUAUCGGAAGGAACACCAGUGGCGAAAGCGGCUUCCUGGUCCAGCACCGACGUUCAGGCACGAAAGCGUGGGGAGCAAACAGG